AAAGGAAUAGACGGGGGCCCGCACAAGCAGUGGAGUAUGUGGUUUAAUUCGAAGCAACGCGAAGAACCUUACCAGGGCUUGACAUCCCCCGGAUGGUGCAGAGAUGUGCCAGUCCUUCGGGACGGGGAGACAGGUGGUGCAUGGUUGUCGUCAGCUCGUGUCGUGAGAUGUUGGGUUAAGUCCCGCAACGAGCGCAACCCUUGUUGUUAGUUGCCAGCGCGUAGAGGCGGGCACUCUAGCAAGACUGCCGGUGACAAAUCGGAGGAAGGUGGGGACGACGUCAAAUCAUCAUGCCCCUUAUGUCCUGGGCUACACACGUACUACAAUGGCCACAACAGCGGGAAGCGAAGGAGCAAUCCGGAGCGAAUCCCCAAAAGUGGUCCCAGUUCAGAUUGUGGGCUGAAACCCGCCCACAUGAAGGCGGAAUUGCUAGUAAUGGCAGGUCAGCAUACUGCCGUGAAUACGUUCCCGGGCCUUGUACACACCGCCCGU
rnacentral:rRNA from 1 species